rnacentral:rRNA from 1 species
AUGCACUCAUGGAUGAAUGAUGUGGUCGGCGACUUGUGUACGGAAGGCCUUACCCAAUUUAUAGGCCUUUGGGAGAUCCUUGAGGAGGUGCAUCUGGAUGAGCAGUCCGAGGACAGUCCCAUUUGGGCUUGGAAUGCGUCGGGGACUUACACCGCAUCCUCUGCAUACAAGAUGCUAUGUGAGGGAGGAGUUAGAUUCCACUCCUUUGGAGCUAUUUGGAAGUGCUGGGGCCCUCUGGCGUGCAAAAUCUUCAUGUGGCUGGCGGUCCAAUAUCGGCUAUGGACUUCCGACAGAAGAGUGAGGCAUAACCUACAAGAUCAAAUUUCUCAAUGCUUUCUUUGUGACCAAGAGGAGGACACGGUGGACCACAUUUUGCUGCAAUGUGUGUUCUCGAGGCAAGUUUGGUUCACUUGCAUUCUUAGGAUGGGGUUGCCCACGGAGCUUUGCCCAACAUAUGAUUCUAGAUUGGUGCAUUGGUGGUCGGACACUAGAAAGCGUUUUCUUAAGCACUCUAGAAAGGGGUUUGAUUCUUUUGUCAUGCUCAUCUGUUGGACGUUAUGGAAACAAAGGAAUGCGAGGGUGUUUGGUUCGGGCCAGAUCAAGAGUGAACAAGACACGGUAGACACGAUCUUCGACGAGCUGAGGAUGUGGGCCACGGCAGGAGCUUUUGGAGAGCAAUGUGUGAUUGAGUAG